CAACUUUCAGCAAUGGAUCUCUUGGCUCUCGCAUCGAUGAAGAACGCAGCGAAACGCGAUAUGUUAUGUGAAUUGCAGAUCUACAGUGAAUCAUCGAAUCUUUGAACGCACCUUGCGCUCCUUGGUAUUCCGAGGAGCAUGCCUGUUUGAGUGUCAGUA
rnacentral:rRNA from 1 species